UCUCCUUUUCUUGGUGGGGACUGGGUGUGCGGUCCCACUUCCCGUGAUGUACUGAGGCAAAGGAAAGGGCUCGGUCUCUCUCGGUGCCAUGUCUUCAGUGCCGGCGGCUUCCUGUUCACCGGUGCUAUCCUCAAACACAGAGACACGG
rnacentral:snoRNA from 1 species